rnacentral:sRNA from 1 species
AAUAAUAAUAAAAAAACAAGUUGAAUGUUUACAAUCGCUAACUACUAAUGAUAGAUCCAAAAUUAAGUUAGAUUUCAUAUCAUUAUUUAAGAUUGUACCAAUCAUUCGAUUUCUAUCUAACCUUUUUCAUGCGAUCUACAAAGAAUAUAAUUGAUUUUAGCAUAGUUAAGUUUUGGAAACCUCCAUAGCAAUGCAACUUCAUUAUGCACCUACAACAAACAAAACAAUGUUAAUAUCUCUAAACUAGUUAGUAGAAGAAGAUAGACCAUGUUAAUAUUACCUUAACAAUCCAAAAAAACAGCAAUACAUGAACGAAGUCAUCCGACAUCACAAUUUCUUCAUAGCGGUUGGACAAAAUAAAUAAAUACCAAGCAGCAAAUACUUCUAUCUUGUCGUAUAUCCCCAUCUCAAACUUGUUGUACAACAACCACACAGUUAUAAUCGACGUGAUGGUGGACGCAACAACAGUCGUUGCACUGCCAAAGUCUUCAUAAGGCUCAAAUUUUUGGUAAGUGACUAGACACACAAUGCGCAGGCAGACAUUCACAAGAUACAACACAUUCUCACGGAAACCGGCAUUCACUUUGCCUUUUCCAUCCAAAAAAGAUUUGAUGAUCCUCCCAACUACUCCAAUAACUUCUUUUUCUCCAUCAAAGCUAAUAAUUUUCAACUCUUCAGGAACCAUCUUAGCAUCUCGAUCGAGUAAUCUUUUUGAUUCACCAAACUCAAACAGAUUUCAGCUUUUUCUAGACAAAGAUUCAUUGAUUCAACAUCGCAAGUCCAUAUUGAAAAUUUUAGUUUUCUUAAAACUAGUGUUCAACGCAAUUUGAUCAUAUCAAAUUUAUCUAGAGAUUUACCCAACUUUCCCUAAACCAACUUCAAUGUAGGUCUCGAAAUAUCUAAAGGCUAGUGUACAAAAAAUGUAUAUAUGGACAUUGACAAAUAACCUUUAAUAAAUCUUUCAAUAGCAUUUACCUCUUUACUCUUCUCCCACCCAAAAAUCCAAAACUCCAUUAACCAAAAUCAAGAUUAACUACCCAUGAUAAAAAUUUGUCUUC